CUGGCGGCACGCCUAACACAUGCAAGUCGAACGAAGUAGCAAUACUUAGUGGCAGACGGGUGAGUAACAUGUAGGUAUCUGCCCUUUGGCCUGGAAUAACACGAGGAAACUUGUGCUAAUACCGGAUAAGUCUUUACGGAGAAAGCUUUAUGCACCAUUGGAUGAGCCUGCACUUGAUUAGUUUGUUGGUGGGGUAAUGGCCUACCAAGACUGUGAUCAAUAGCUGAUUUGAGAGGAUGAUCAGCCACAUUGGGACUGAGACACGGCCCAAACUCCUACGGGAGGCAGCAGUGGGGAAUCUUGCACAAUGGAGGAAACUCUGAUGCAGCGAUGCCGCGUGAGUGAAGAAGGCCCUUGGGUUGUAAAGCUCUUUCGUCGGGGAAGAAAAUGACUGUACCCGAAUAAGAAGGUCCGGCUAACUUCGUGCCAGCAGCCGCGGUAAUACGAAGGGACCUAGCGUAGUUCGGAAUUACUGGGCUUAAAGAGUUCGUAGGUGGUUGAAAAAGUUGGUGGUGAAAUCCCAGAGCUUAACUCUGGAACUGCCAUCAAAACUUUUCAGCUAGAGUAUGAUAGAGGAAAGCAGAAUUUCUAGUGUAGAGGUGAAAUUCGUAGAUAUUAGAAAGAAUACCAAUUGCGAAGGCAGCUUUCUGGAUCAUUACUGACACUGAGGAACGAAAGCAUGGGUAGCGAAGAGGAUUAGAUACCCUCGUAGUCCAUGCCGUAAACGAUGUGUGUUAGACGUUGGAAACUUGUUUUCAGUGUCGCAGCGAAAGCGAUAAACACACCGCCUGGGGAGUACGACC
rnacentral:rRNA from 1 species